rnacentral:rRNA from 1 species
AUUGAACGCUGGCGGAAUGCUUUACACAUGCAAGUCGAACGGCAGCACGGACUUCGGUCUGGUGGCGAGUGGCGAACGGGUGAGUAAUGUAUCGGAACGUGCCCAGUCGUGGGGGAUAACGUAGUGAAAAUUACGCUAAUACCGCAUACGAGCUAUGGAUGAAAGCGGGGGAUCGCAAGACCUCGCGCGAUUGGAGCGGCCGAUAUCAGAUUAGGUAGUUGGUGGGGUAAAGGCCCACCAAGCCAACGAUCUGUAGCUGGUCUGAGAGGACGACCAGCCACACUGGAACUGAGACACGGUCCAGACUCCUACGGGAGGCAGCAGUGGGGAAUUUUGGACAAUGGGCGAAAGCCUGAUCCAGCCAUUCCGCGUGCAGGAUGAAGGCCCUCGGGUCGUAAACUGCUUUUGUACAGAACGAAAAGGUUUCUACUAAUACUAGGAGCUCAUGACGGUACUGUAAGAAUAAGCACCGGCUAACUACGUGCCAGCCGCCGCGGUAA